rnacentral:tRNA from 1 species
AGCCCGGUGGUGUAGUGGACAAGCUAAAGCCCACUUGAAGAGCUUUCGGUUAAGGCAUCCAGGGCUUUGGACCCUGGGACCGCAGUUCGAAUCUGCGCCGGGCUACCA